rnacentral:rRNA from 1 species
UACGUAGGGGGCAAGCGUUGUCCGGAAUCAUUGGGCGUAAAGAGCUCGUAGGUGGUGUGUCGCGUCUGCCGUGAAAGCCCGGGGCUUAACUCCGGGUCUGCGGUGGAUACGGGCAGACUAGAGGCAGGUAGGGGAGACUGGAAUUCCUGGUGUAGCGGUGAAAUGCGCAGAUAUCAGGAGGAACACCGAUGGCGAAGGCAGGUCUCUGGGCAUUAACUGACGCUGAGGAGCGAAAGCAUGGGGAGCGAACAGG